AUGAGCCUACGAGGUCGGUUCUGUUACUGUCGCCACUUCAGGGGUAGGAAACAGUCCCGGAGGGAUGGGGAACUUCCCGAGGUCACUGAACUGGUGUCAGGCCCGGAAUGGAAUCCAAACACAUCCCAGUCCAAGCCCGGCUCCACAGCGCCGGCCCCCAGCCGUCUUCUGGGGUCCCAGUGGCACCCGCGUCCAUUCAAAUGCUGCCCUAGUCCCCCUCUCCAGUCGCUUCCCGCUACUCCGUGCGCGCAUCGUCCCCCACCCCUCAGGGGCAGGCCUCUCGGUGGCUCUUCCUUUUUGUCUGCCAGAAACUGAGGGGUGAGACCGACGUUUGUCCCGAACGCGUGCAGGUGGCCGCGACGAUCCCGGGAGACACGCAGGGGAGAAUGAGUCAGAGCGCGCGGCUAUGGGAAGCCCCGACCAGGCUUUCCGCGAGCCUGUCUGCCAGAGCAGCGAGCGCGAGGGCCGACUCCGCCCCCGGAGCGCAGGCUCGGCCCGGGGCGCGUUAUCACGCAGCGGAGAGGUCCCUUCUUUUUUUUUUUUUUUUUUUGAGACGGAGUUUCGCUCUUGUUACCCAGGCUGGAGUGUAAUGGCGCCAUCUCGGCUCACCGCAACCUCCGCCUCCUGGGUUCAGGCAAUUCUCCUGCCUCAGCCUCCCGAGUAGCUGGGACUACAGGCACGCGCCACCAUGCCCAGCUAGUUUUUUUGUAAUUUUAGUAGAGACGGGGUUUCACCAUGUUGACCAGGAUGGUCUCGAUUUCAUGACCUCGUGAUCCACCCGCCUCGGCCUCCCAAAGUGCUGGGAUUACAGGCUUGAGCCACCACGCCCGGCCUCGGAGAGGUCCCUUCAAACCCAGUCAGGUGAACCGUACCGCGGGGGAGCCACGUGGUGCCGAGAGCGCAGCCCCGCCCCGCCCCGCCCCGCCCCGCCGCGUCACGCCCGCGCUCGGCCCCGCGCUUAACCGUUAGUCGGGUAACUGCCCGCGGUGCCCUAGCUGCUUGUGUGGGAUCGGAAGGACCCUCGCGGGAGAGGAUACCAAGUCUCCAGGGGGAGGUAGGCGGCCUCACUGAGGGCUUCGUGGCCGCAGGCAGCUGUGUUAUCUCGGAGAGCGGCGUCGGUGGAGGGGCGGCCAGGUGUUUGGCCACGGGCUCCCAGAGAGCAAUGUGGCCAAGUGACCUGGGGUAAUCACUUCGUCCUCACAGGAGAUGCUUUUUUUGUCUGGAAGAAUAGUGACUGGGCUGUAAAAACAAAUGCGCCUACCUUCCAGGCUCUCCCGACCGACCGGAGAUAACCCCUCGGGGGGUGACGGGGGAGGAGGAUGAGGUGGGGUUUGUUUUGGGGAUUGUGCCUUGCCACCUAUCACCUUCUAAUCUUUGAACUCUAUUUGUUCCUCUUCCUUUAAUUUAACCUGACAAAUAAUCUCCCCAAUUAGUGAUUUCCGUGACUUUGCUUUGCCCAUAGGAAUUCUCAUUCCUUCCCGUCCCUGUUCUCUGCUUUGUAGCAUGUGACCCUUGUAUUAUCUUUGUUUGCUGUCUUCUCUAACAGAUAGUAAGUUUCUUUCUUUUCUUUUUUUGAGAUGGCGUUUCGCUCUUGUUUCAUUCUUGUUGCCCAGGCUGCAGUGCAGUGGUGGAUCUUGGCUCCCUGCAACUUCAGUUGCACCCUCUGCCUCCCGAGUUCUCCUGCGUCAGGCUCCUGAGUAGCUGGGAUUACAGGCAUCUGCCACCACGCCCAGUUAAUUUUUGUAUUUUUAGUAGUGAUGGGGUUUCAUCAUGUUGGCCAGGCUGGUCUCGAACUCCUGACCUCAGGUGACCCACCGGCUUUGGCCUCCCAAAGCUCUGGGAUUACAGGUGUGAGCCACUGCUCCUGGCCCAAGAUGGUAAGUUUCUUUAAGGUAGUGACUAUCAUUGUAGUUCCCAUAACUACAUGGUUAACACGUGGUUAAAUAGAAGUAACAGUGGGUAUCUUCAAUUAAUUUUUGGGUAAUUACUGUGACCUGUGGAGUAUCCUUCUGUUGUGGUCCCAGUCAGUUGCAUCAGUGACAUUACUUAAAUGAGCGCCAAACUUUGUUGUCUUCAGUAACUCAACUUUAAGAUGCAGGCCUGGCUGGGCACGGUGGCUCACACCCUAAUCCCAGCACUUUGGGAGGCCCAAACAGGUGGAUCACCUGAGGUCAGGAGUUCAAGAUCAGCCUGGCCAACAUGGUGAAACCCCAUCUCUACUAAAAAUACAAAAAUUAGUUGGGCGUGGUGGUGUAUGCCUGUAAUCCCAGCUGCUCAGGAGGCUGAGUCAGGAGAAUUGCUUCAACCCGGGAGGCAGAGGUUGCAGUGAGCUGAGAUCGCACCACUGCACUCCAGCCUGCUGACAGAGCAAGACUCCGUCUAAAAAAAAAAAGAAUAGGUGCCUCAUGACUUCAUUGUACAAAUCUUCUCUCUCCAUACAAAAGAAAGACUAACUCACUCAUUCCAGCUCAAAACCUUUGGGGAGAAAAUGUGUAGCUCUGGAGAGAAAAAUAUUGAAGGAGACACAGACUUAUUUCACCUAAGCAUCAGACUUCUGCCAUGUAUGUAUGUGAUUGCCUUUUAUCAUGCUUAGAAUUUGAAAGAGUGAUGGUUAUAACAGAAAUGUUUAUCAGCUCACUGCUUUGAAUGCAAAUGAGUUCAGACCUUUUGAAGACUGGCCCCUUAGAGGCCCUUUUCCAUAAACCAAGUGAGCAAAGCACCAAGGUCUUGACAAAGAUAUAUUUAAAGCAAUUAUAACACAACAUACAAUAUGGCAGAAAUUAUAUCUUUGCAACUAUUAAACAGCACAUUUUAGUAUGCAGUGUGUAAGCGGAUAUAUAUACCAAAGUUCUUUUGGGACAAAACAGUUGAAGACCACAGACCUGGGAGUCACUUUAACACACAGUUAGUUCUCUUCAGUGUAACUCUGCGAUGUUAGGUUAAAAGACAAUAGUAUGGCUGGGUGUGGUGGCUCACGCCUAUAAUCCCAGCACUUUGGGAGGCUGAGGUGGGCAAAUCAAGUGGUCAGGAGUUUGAAACCAGCCUAGCCAACAUGGUAAAACCCCGUCUCUACUAAAAAUACAAAAAACUAGCUGGGCGUAGUGGCAGGUGCCUGUCAUCCCAGCUAUUCAGGAGGCUGAGGCAGGAGAAUCGCUUGAACCCGGGAGGCAGAGGUUAGGGUGAGCUGAGAUCGUGCCACUGCACUCUAGCUUGGGCAACAAGAGAGAAACUCCGUCUCAAACAAGUUCCUGCUUUAAUGCACCGUAUUUCUUUUGUGGGGAGAGACUGAGAAUGAUAAGAGGCAACAUAGCCUAGUGCUAAAGAGCACAGACUUGGGAGCCAUUCUGAUUAGGUUUGAAUGCUUCUCUAUCACAUCCUGAGAAAGCUGCUUAACCUUUCUGUUCCUCCAUUUCCCCAACUCUUUUUUUUUUUUGAGAUGAAGUCUUGCUCUGUCGCCAGACUGGAGUGCAGUGGCAUGAUCUCAGCUCACUGUAACCUCUGCCUCCCGGGCUCAAGCAAUUCUCCUGCCUCAUCCUCCCGAGUAGCUGGAACUACAGGCAUGCAUCGCACGCCCAGCUAAUUUUUUUGUAUUUUUAGUAGAGACGGGGUUUCACUAUAUUGGCCAGGAUGGUCUCUAUCUCCUGACCUCGUGAUCCACCUGCCUCAGCCUCCCGAAGUGCGGGGAUACAGGCAUGAGCCACUACGACUGGCCUCCCCAGCUCUUCAUUUGGGAAGAGUAAUAGUACUUGUUUUAUAGGGUUGUUGAAAGUAUUAAAUCAGUUAAUCAAGUAAAGUGCUUAAUCUAACUGUGCCUCAUAGAAAGCACUAUGUGAGCGUUCACUCUAUUUUUUGUUUGUUUGUUUUUGAGACAAGAGUCUCGCUCUGCCACCCAGGCUGGACAGUGCAGUGGUGAGAUCUCAGUGGCGUGAUCUCAGCUCACUACAACCUUUGCCUCCUGGGUUCAAGCGAUUCUCCCACCUCAGUCUCCUGAGUAGCUGGGACUACAGGCACUCGCCACUACGCCGGCUAAUUUAUGUAUUUCAGUAGAGACAGGGUUUCACGUUGUUGGUCAGGCUGGUCUUGAACUCUGCUCUCAUGAUCCGACUGCCUCCGCCUCCCAAAGUGCUGGGAUUACAGGCAUGAGCCACUGCUCCCGGCUGAGUGUUCACUCUUAUUUAGAUAAUCUUUUAGAUAGGUGCUACGGAGAAAGAAAAAGCAAGGUAAGGAGUGCAAAGUCAAAGGCUGACAUUGGAUCCAGGAUGGUCCUGAAAAGCCUCCCUGAUGUGUAAACAUUUGACUUGAAGUGAUACCUGGAUAAACAAAAAUUCCAAGCAGACAUUAACUCCUUUAGGGUUGAGAAAUCCUAAACAACAUGCUUGACAUCCUCGAACAAUUGUAAGAAGGUCAUUGUAUUUGGAAUAGUAUGAGCCAGGAGAGAGAAAAGUAGAUGAAGUCAGGGCAAAUUAUGUGGCCCCUUUGUAGCACUUUAAAGCUUUGGCUUUACUCUCUAUCCACUGGCCCCAGGCUUCAGGAGUAAGCAUGCAAAUGAGAUCCUGCCAAUCAAAGCUUAGCCUUCAAUGAACAAGCACUUACUCAAAACUAAUCAUGGUCCCAGAAUGUUCAUCCCGGGAAUUCUGCUGCCUGGAAAGAAGCUAGAAUUGUUACAGGAGAGUAAGUUGGCAUUAAGUGGCCAUUCCUGCACCAGUGAAUUGAGGGCAUGUCUGAAAGUGCUGCCAAAAGUGGUUUUACUUUUACAGAAGAAAGUAAAACCGCCGGGUGCGGUGGCUCAAGCCUGUAGUCCCAGCACUUUGGGAGGCCGAGGCGGGCGGAUCACUCACGAGGUCAAGAAAUCGAGUCCGUCUCUACUAAAAAUACAAAAAAUUAGCUGGGCAUGGUGGCGCGUGCCUGUAGUCCCAGCUACUCGGGAGGCUGAGCCUGAACCCGGGAGGUGGAGGUUGCGGUGAGCCAAGGUUGCGAUUGCACUCCAGCCUGGGUAACAAGAGCGAAACUCUGUCUCAAAAAAAAAAAAAAAAAGUAGUCAGAAGCAAUGGAGUCACUGAAUCAAAAUGGAAAGGAGUAAAUGGCCUGCAUUAAAGGAAGAAAAUCCAGAAAAAAGUUAAGGAGAGUGGCUGGAUGUGGUGGCUCACGCCUGUAAUCCCAGCACUUUAGGAGGCUAAGGCUGAUGGAGGCUGAGGUCAGGAGUUCAAGACCAGACUGGCCACAUGGUGAAACCCCAUCUCUACUAAAAUACAAAAAUUAGCUGGGCAUGGUGGCAGGUGCCUGUAAUCUGAGCUACUCAGGAGGCUAAGGCAAGAGAAUCGCUUGAACUCAGGAGCUGGAGGUUGCAGUGAGCCGAAAUCAUGCCAUUUCACUCCAGCCUGGGUGACAGGGUGAGACUCCGUCUCUAAAUAAAGAAAUAAAGAAAUAAAUAAAAUAAAUCCUUAAAUGUGUGGCAAUGCAUUUUAAAUAAGCGGUUAUGAAGUCUAAUUGCAUGGAAAGAUACUUUUUUUUUUCUUUUUUUGCUAAGCACUGUUCUAGGCAUUGAGGAUUCAUCAAGAAGCAAAACCCAACUGUCUGUAUUUCAUAGAUUUUACCUUCUAGUAAGGGAAGACAGAACAGUAAAUUAUAAGGAAAUAAGUUUUCUGAAUGCAGUAUUUGAUAUAAGAUUAACCGGCUGGGUGCAGUGGCUCAUACCUAGAAUCCCAGCACUUUGGGAGGCCGACAUGGGCACAUUACCACAUCAGUAGUUCGAGACCAGCCUGAACAAUAUGGUGAAACCCUGUCUCUACUAAAAAUACAAAAAUUAGCCAGGUGUGGUGGCAUGCACCUGUAGUCCCAGCUACUUGGGAGGCUGAGGCAGAAGAAUUGCUUAAACCCAGGAGGCGGAGGUUGCAGUGAGCCGAGAUCAUGCCAUUGCGCUCCAGACUGGAUGACAGAGGGAGACUCCAUGUCAAAAAAGAAACAUACGGAAUAUAUAAGAUUAACCUUUUCAUUCAUUCAUUCAUUCAUCCAUCCAUUCAAACUGCUUUUUGGAGCGACUUCUACAUGCCUGAUGCUGGAUAGAAGGGAAGUAAUAGUGAACAAACAAGUUCCUAACACCUGCAGCUUCCAGUUUAAUGGGCAGGAUUGGGUAUUUUGCACUAUGAUGGGACAGCACAUAAAAAGGCAAUGGCCAGGUGUGGCGGCUUAUGCCUGUAAUCCUAGCACUUUGGGAGGGCAAGACAGUGAUAUAGGAGUUAAAAAGAAUUAUUUAGGCAAAUAGUGAGGGUAAGGAAGUCCUCGGUAAGGUUUUCCUUGUAAUAAAAGCAGCCCCCAAAUAAUUUUUUCUGACAAAAAGCAGCCUGUAAAAUCCAGCUGCAGACAUAGAUAAGCAAGCUGGAAGCUUGCAUGGGUGAAUGCCGGCCGCUGCGACAAUAGGGAAAGGCUACCUGGGGUCUAGGCAUUUCAACAUUGCAGUGCCAUCUUCCCUGUUCUUUGCCAAUCGUGUAUAGUAAGGAGCAGAUAAUGUGGUGCCAGCCAGGUAAAAAAUCCAUUUGCAUAAUAAAAAAUUAGGUAUAAAAAUCCAUUGGCAUAAUUAAAAAUUAGGUAAAAAUCCAUUUGCAUAAUAAAAAAUUAGGUAUGAAAAUCCAUUUGCAUAAUAAAAAAUUAGGUAAAAAAUCCAUUUGCUUAAUAAAAAAUUAGGUAUAAAAAUCCAUUUGCAUAAUAAAAAUACAAAAAUUAGCCAGGCAUGGUGACAGGUGCCUGUAAUCUGAGCUACUUGGGAGGCUAAGGCAGGAGAAUCACUUGAAUGUGGGAGGUGGAGAUUGCAGUGAGCCAAGAUCACACCACUGCACUCUCUAGCCUGGGCAACAGAGGGCAACUGUCUCAAAAAAAAAAAAGGAAACGUCAUAUUUAUGUAGAUGUUCAGUUUACAAAGCCCUUAUACAUAACAUUUAUUAUUUAAAGCAGCAAAUGCCAGGGAGGUGGGUAUAAAUCAAAGCAAUGACCCCUCUAAAUGCAAUGUGGUAUUGUCAGAGGCUUUGAACCAGAGUGACUCCAUCUUGAAUUAGGGCUGAGACCUACUGGGCUGCAUUCCAAGGAGGUUAGGACUUCUUAGUCAACAGGAUAUUUAGAAUUAAGGGAACAAGUUAUUAAUGUUUACUGAACAGACCUUAAUAGGACCAGGACUUAGACCCAGGAAAUAUAACAAUAGGCCCAGGAAAUAUCCUGAUGUCCCAAUAUCUCAACAACAAAAGCGUUCUUUUUUUUUAUUUUAUUUUUUAUAAGACAGGGUUUCACCAUGUUGGUCAGGCUGGUCUUGAACUCCCAACCUCAUGUGAUCCGCCCUCCUUGGCCUCCAAAGUGCUUGGAUUACAGGCGUGAGCCACCAUGCCCGGCCAAAAGCAUUAUUAGUUAAGAAUAAGUUUUUCUUAUUAAAGAUAAUAAUAUAGGUUCUUACCAAAUACAGCAGUUACACAAAGUAGUUACACAAUCAUUGUCACAAGCCCCUGUAGUAGAGCACAUCUCCCCCAUGAUUAUUUGCUUUUUUAUUUCAUAUUAAACAAGCAUUGGACCUAAGGUGGCCGCCUUCCUCCUCUUGCUUCUGAAACUCCCUGCUCUGUCCAUGGAGUAGCCAUUCUUUCAUUCCUUUACUUUCUUAAUAAACUUGCUUUCACUUUACUCUGUGGACUCCUCCAAAAUCUUUCUUGCGGGAGAUCCAAGAUCUCUCUCGUGGGGUCUGGAUCGGGAUCUCUUUCUGGUAAUACCAUUCUAGAAUUGAUUCUGGAACUUAAAAAGAACAUGGGGGAAAGCUGAUCCAUGGUUUAGUAUUGUACCAAGGUUAAGUCGAUAAAUGGUACCACGGUUAUAAGAUUAACAGUAGAGGAAGCUGGGUGAAAAGUAUACAGGAACUCUAUACUAUCUAUUAAACUGUGACAGAUGGGAAGGUUCUUCAAAGUUUGUAUCUUAGAUUACAUUAUAAGGAGUUGCGAUCUCUUGCUGUAUGGCCAUUAUCUGCUAUUGGCAUAAACAUAUAACCAUGUGUAUAUGCUUAGCUACUUUGACUUGCUCUGGCCUGUCUGAACAGAACUGGGCAAGCUCCAAACCCUGGUGCAUGCCAUUCCUUAUUUAGAAACCCUCCUGACCUCCUGACUAGCUUCCUCUUCUUACUUGUCUUCUUUCCCCCUCAUCUAUUCAGGAAAUUUCCAAGUUUUUAGCCAAUCAGGUAAAGCAUAGACUGUGAGGUCCCGUUCUGGCCAAUGGAAACUGGACACAGCAGUAGGGCGAUUGUGUCAGGUUAUGAAAGUUAUAAAUGCCUCCAUCUCCCUUGUUCAGGUGCUCUUGUGGCAAGACUGCCAGUGAGUUGCACCCUUUCUGCAGGAAGUAAACUAACCUUGAUGAGUGAUCCAUUGUCUCUGUGUGGACAUUUCCCAAUGUUAUAAACCCGUUUCCAACAAAACUUUUUUUUGUAAAUCUGAAAUUUUAAGAUAAGAAGUUAGAAAACACCCACGACUCUGACUCAGCUGAGCCUUUGUCCUGCCAGGGCAUCUUCCUCACUGUCAGAAAAGACAGUGCCAAACAGCAUCUUGUAAAGCAAGAGCAUUUCAGCUCAGUGGCUACGGCUGAAGGCUGUGCUGGAUAGAAGCUCCGGAAACAGAAGAGGCUGAGUCCGGGGUGAUCCUGAGGGUGAAUAAUGGCCAAACCUACACUGGAUCCUCAAUUCUGCAAUUCUGUCCCUUGGCUUUGAAAUUCACAGUGAUUUUUCUCACUUGUGGAUUUUCCUUCCCUAAAAUGCUUUGCUGUCUCAAGAAUUAAAACAGUUUGUAUUUUACUCACUUGCUCACUUCAACUGGGUCCCAGGAGGAAAUGGCCAUCGGUCAUGAAGAAGUUAGAAGUGGGAUUGGAUUGUGUGGCUACUGAUAAGCACAAGAUAAGCACAAAGGGGAAGCCCGGGACUUGCAGGGAGUGGUUUUCCAGGCCAGAAGCUUUAUCCAGCUCCUACACUCUUUCCACCCACACAGAAGAGUCAUUGUUUUUAUUCAUAUCUACCUCCCCAAGGUUUGUGUGGAUUAGAUGAUAAAUCCAUGUAAAAGGGCUUUACACACUAUAAAUAUGACCGGCAUUCAUUCAGGUUCUGGUGCGCUGUCUAUAUGUAUAUGCAUAAUUAAGAGAAAGUGUUUUUUAUUCUCUGUGCCCUCUCAUCCCUCACGUUUUUGUUUUUGUUUUAAAUGAAAAGGCCUGUUUUGUUUUAAAUGAGUGCCUUUCUAUCUGAUUAUAAUUCUGAAUGCGAUUCACAUUGGAAGCUAUGGAUACAUUUGGUAACAACUGUGCCCUCAGCCUUAGAACUGGGUGAAUUCUAAGCAUUGUUCAGCUUCUCAAAUACUAAGGAGGAGCACAACAGGAAAGACCUGGGCCUGCAGCGGGUAGCUGUCUGAGCCUGAAGCUUCAGCAGGUCCCUGUACUCCCUUCACACACACACACACCGCCCCAACCCCAUUCCUCCUGCCGAGUUCUCAUCUAGUACCAGUCUGUGUAGGUCACCCUGCUCCAGUGUCUCCCUGCUCCAGGGUCUCCCCAUCAAUACCCACUCCUUGCCUUUUUCCCCUGCUACAGCUGUGGGUCAGGUCCACACAGGGCCUCAUCAGGAUUCCUGAAAUCGCUUCGAAAAACCUCCCAGCCUCAGUUCUCACUUGCCGCUUCCAAACAAUCAGUGCUACCAUCACAGUAUAAUCAUCAGAAGGUUGAAAACAUGCCUCAAGAAUGAAGGUGAACAUGUGACAAACAUUUUUUAUUUUUAUUGUUUUAUUUUUUUGAGACAGAGUGUUGCUCUGUUGCCCAGGCUGGAGUGCAGUGGGGCUAUGUCAGCUCACUGGGUUCAAGCAAUUCUCCUGCCUCAGCUUCCCGAGGAACUGGGAUUACAGGCGUGAGCCACCACGUCCUGCCACAGAGAUUUAUUUAUUUUUAUUUAUUUAUUUUUGAGAUGGAGUCUUGCUCUGUCACCCAGGCUGGAGUGCAGUAGUGUCAUCUCUGUCAUUUCCACUCACCACAGCCUCCGCCUCUUAGUUCAAGUGAUUCUUCUGCCUCAGCCUCCAGAGUAGCUGAGAUUACAGGCGUGUACCACCAUGCCUGGCUAAGUUUUUGUAUUUUUAGUAGGGAGAGGGGUUUCACCAUGUUGGCCAGGAUGGUCUGGAACUCCUGACCUUGUGAUCCACCCGAUUUGGCUAAUCCCCAAGUGCUGGUAUUACAGGCAUGAGCCACACUGCCUGGCCACCACAAAGAUUUAUUUUUAACUCAUUAACGAAGAAACCAGCAGAAUGGUAAAUCUAGUUCAAAGGAAAAUUCAAGAAACUAAAUAGUCAUAGUGUUAUUCACAUCCAGUCGUACUGAAUGUUAAAUGCAUUUGAUAAAGAGAUCUUCCAAACAGGCUUUGUGUGGGCAACAAGGCCGUUUCAUUUCUCACUUUGGUGCAAGGGAGCCAAAUCUGAGAAAAGACAGGCGAAGGGGGUAAGGUAGGAGUUGGCUUUAUA